CGUCACCGAAAACAUCAUGGCGGGGUAGUGUGUUCAUGAGCGCUAAACUUGGAAUAAAACGUCAAACAUAUGGAAUAUAUCUCAAAAAAAUUCAUUUAAUCACGAGUCUCUCUCUGCAGUAGGACAGAAUGGUCCGCAGAUCCAGGAUCAGUAUUCGGCCCAACGUCAGGCCUGCGGGCAGAGGCCCAGCAGCCCUAGCCUCCUCCCAAGACACUCCUCCAUCGUCCCAGGCCACCAAGGCUCCUUCCCAGGCAGGGGGCCAGGAGGUGGACACCACCACUACUGCAGUUCCAGAAACCCCCACAGAGUCCACCACACCCAGAGAGGAUGAUAAAGACCCAAAUGGUGAGGCUUCCAGUGGCACCCCCUCAGACAGUAUUCAAAGGAGGAAGAGCAACCCCGGCCCUCACCCUCUACUCCUCCCGGAACUCCAAGUCCCCUGUGAGAGUGGGCACUGAGACCCCAGCCCCUGAGGCUCCAGGGGCCCCCCAGCGAGACAGAUGCUGGACCCCCACAGGGCAUGAGAUGCCCAAGGCGGAGGCCCUCUGGAGGUAGUAGGCAGGCCAAAGUACAGCCCAAACCCAGCCCCCUGUCCCCAUCUUCCCCAGCCCCUGAGACAACAACCCCCCCACUGGGGAAGCAGGCAGUGGAUUACUCAUCCCCGUCACAACAGACCCUGCAGGCAGCAGACAAGGAGGAAACAUCCUCACAGCUCACCAAACAAGACAAAGGCAGCAUCCAAUUAGAUCUCUCGAAAAAAACACCAGCCACUAAAGCUCCAUCCACUCCAUCAAAGAAUGUCCCCUCAUCCUCCCUUUCACACGAAGAGGGCAUCUCAGUAUCUGAGAGAGAUAAGACUCUGGUAGCCAGGUCUGUGUCUGUUGGGCUCACCGGGUUGGCACCAAGAAAGUCCAGGCUUAGCAAGUUCCUGAAUGACCUAACGGACCUGCAGAGGCUGGCCAAGGCCCGGAAGCUCAGAGAACUGCUGAGACAGGAGAUGAGCAAGGAAAAGCAGUGAUAUUGUUGGUCCUGGAGGUGGUUUGGAGGAAGGGUAUGCUGGUAUCCUCUGCAAAGCCCCUGAGCCCAUGUCAUUUGAUGAGGUCGUCCCUCAACCCACAUACACCAGUAUCAAGGAAGUGGAGUCUGGCUCCACAGCAGGCCCAGUAGAUGUGUGUGCCUCAGCCAAUCCCUCAGGAGACUCCAUGGCUGACGCGGAGACUAGGGAGGACAUAGAUCCUCCUUUUAAGAGGAAAGUGCUAGAGAGAGCCAGGAGAGUUCUGUCUGUGUGACCUAGACAAACUGCAGAUCAGACCUAACACAGCAGUAAGGAAACAGCCCAGUUGUUCGGUCCUAGCCAAGGAGGCUGUGUCAGCAUCCACCUCAGACUAUACCACCAUCCCAGAGACGGACCACCCCACAGCCUCUACCCCAGAGCAUACCACCAUCCCAGAGACGGACCACCCCACAGCCUCCACCCCAGACCAUACCACCACCCCAGAGACGAACCACCCCACAGCCUCUACCCCAGACCAUACCACCACCACCAACCCAGAGACGGACCACCCCACAGCCCCCAACCCAGCCAGGUCCCUCCGUCACAGGAACAGCAUCAGGAGAGGUGGCGGCUGAGGAGCAGGAGAUUGUGGGCCGUUUAGACCUCCCAGAGACAGAGGAGGACACGCCCACUGGAGGGAGCGAGAUGGAGGACCGUAGGUCAGGGGCGGAGUCUCAGGCUGCCUGUCAAAUGACACCGCUGGAUACGAGUGGCCCCUUGAGCAGGCCUGGUAGAAGACCCAGAGGAUUUCUUUCUUUCAUGUCCAAUAAGACCAGCAACCCUGCAGCUGCCCCCUCUGCCCCUCCUCGAGGACCCAGAGCAGCCCCUCAGAGGCCCCAGGUCAACACCACCCGGCCAGGGGGGAAACAGCGGCACCAGCCCCCUCCACCACCAGAUACAUGCCUGCCCCCUCUACUAGAAACACCACCAUUAGUUCCACCAGAAUGGUCACUAGGCCAGACAGUUCCCCCAGGGUGACCUGGGAACAGCCCUCUGAUGUCCAGGCCUUCCACUCAGACCCAGAUCCCAGUACUUUCCAAUGUACUACAGCUACCAAGCCUUCUCAGGUACCAGCCACCCAGCCCAGUGCGUCUCCCUGUGUAGACAGCUGUUCAGCAAGCGAGGAACCCCUUAACGUGUCCCAGUACUUCUUCAGUGACAUCUUCACUGAAGUUGAGGGAAGUGAGGGAUGAGAGGGGGAGGAAGGAGGAGGAAGUGAAAGGAGAAACGGAAGUCACUCUCGGUUUUAAUCAAACUGGAAAACAAAAUGUUAAGAAAUCCUUGAAAGAUUGCGCUUGAGAAAAAUCUGGGUUCUUUGCAUGUAUGUCUGUGUAUGUAGCAGUAAAAUUACGUCUCUGCUUGUGAUUAUGCUGUUUCAUGCUUGCAGUGAAUAGAUUUGGCCACAAGAUGGCAACAGGGAAAACAAAAAAAGUGAAAAUGUAUCUUCAAAUCAUAAAUGUUUUGUCCAAACUGGCACCGAGAAGCUUUGCCAAUGUCCCAUAUUGGAUGAUUACAUUUUUGGCUCUUUCACCCCAAUCAUAUCUUCUAGCCUUUUGGGUAAUCUAUAUAUUCUAAAAUAUAUUUAUUUGGUUAUAUUUUUUCAAACCUCACAAAGCUAGACAUUUAUGGUCAUUUUUCUCCAUCUGCAUACAAGCAGAAUACUUUAAAUCAAUGUUAACUCACUCUUCUACAUUGGAGAGUUUGGCAGUUUCCUCAGGGACUUUCACAUUCAGAUUUGUGUUUUUAUUUGAAGCAUUUUUUACGUUUAAAUCGGAAACCAUUGUCUUAAUGAACAUUGUAUAUAUGUUUGUUUGAAUGUAGAUCAGAUAUACUGGAAGGGGUGUAUUCCCCGAGCAUUUACAGUUUUUCUUUCUUGGUGUUUCUUGGUGAACAAGACCCAGCUUGAGGGACACCACAGUGAUGUCAACACUUGUUUCUUUAUUUCAUGCUACCUGAAGAUACAGGACAUAUAUUUUCAAAUGGCUCUGCAAAUAAACCUCUCAUUUAAUACAUGUACAAGUGACAAACUCACAGAAACCGUGCACAGAUCAUGAGUCCAAUUUCAAGGAUUUAUUAUGUUCUGCAGCCACUGUUCAAACUAACGUAGCUAUUAUAUAGCUCAUGUGAAUACAAUUAUAUACGUUAAUGUCUCCUUUAGUGUUAUGUCUUGCUACAUUAUAGAAAACUGAGUAUAGAAAAGUAGAAGAAAUGCAUAAGAAUGGUCAGAGGGUCUUGAAACUGGACUAGUGUAUGAGACCACCUUGCAGACCACCUAUGCAACCUAUGCAGAACCUUAUGUUCACAUAAGAAAUAUGUUACGAAGUUUUUCUAAAAAUAUUGUGUUGUUAUUUUGGAGAAGAUAGCAUGGAUAUCAUCUUAGUUAGUCUCAACAGAAAUUAAGAGGACACAUGAUCUCAAAAGCCUUAAAGGUGUAAUGAAAACUUCAGCAUUUGAGUGUAGUCUUUUUUUUUGCUGUGUGUGUGUCGGGGGGAUGGGGGAGGAAUGUGCAGAUGUUUAAUUUCCAAGCGGCAUAGAGAGGCAGUGAGAUCGAAGAGAGGAAGCUGCAUGUUACUAGGUGACCUCACUACAUAAAUAUUCCACGCUCUCACAGUCAGCCCUUGUGCAGUUCCACUCUUCUUUUGGUCCAUGUUGAAUAGGGAUGUAAAGGAAUUCACUUUUAUAGACCCUGUGCUUUUAAAUUAAUCAGGGGUUUUCCAACUGUUUCUGUUCUGCCUUAAAGAUGUGAAAUAAACACUGAGCAUGAGAGGUA